rnacentral:rRNA from 1 species
UACGGGGGGAGCAAACGUUGUUCGGAUUCACUGGGCGUAAAGGGUGCGUAGGUGGUGAGGUAAGUCGGAUGUGAAAGCUCGGAGCUCAACUCCGAAAUGGCAUUGGAAACUACCUUGCUAGAGGGUUGGAGGGGGGACUGGAAUACUUGGUGUAGCAGUGAAAUGCGUAGAUAUCAAGUGGAACACCAGUGGCGAAGGCGAGUCCCUGGACAACUCCUGACACUGAGGCACGAAAGCUAGGGGAGCAAACAGG